AUAUAUAUAUAUACGGAACUGCGAAAAAUUACAGCAUCUUCCAUCCAGAGAUGCCAUGCGACGCCUCACCAAAUUACGGUACCUGGAUAUUAGAGGCUGCCCAGAGUUAGAUGAAAGUUGCAGCAAUCGGAGUGGCCCAAGCUCCCAGUGGUCAAAGAUUUCCCAUAUUCCAGAAAUUAAAGUCGGUUGGAGGAGAAUUCAGAACUUAAAUCGAAGGCCACGCUAGAACGUUGCUGCGGUAUAUCAAGUCAAAAUCUGUUGGCGGCAAUUACGUCGGGGUUGGUUAUGUUCCACAGAGAAACACCACGUUUAUUUUGUUGAAGAUCAGACUCUUUCAUGAGAAUUUGCUCUAAUCUCUCAUUUAUCCGCAUUCAGGCCUUGUCCAUCAGUUUACUUCCAGAGGACAGAUUGGAACAUUUUGCGCAAUGGUACUUUUGGAGAUUGUGAUUGCUCAAAGCUGAAAAUUCAAGGAUAAUUUUUCUGUUCAUUUAAGUUUUCGCAAUUGAAGGACUUCAACAAAGAAAGUUACAAAAGAUUGUUGUGUCUUAAGUCUUUGUUGUUCUAUCUUGGCUCUCAAAAUGUCCUUACGAAUACAUGUUCAUCUUUAUAGAUUCAUGUUUGAAGCACGGACAUGGACCUUGUCGAAAUGCUAGGUUGGAAAAGAUUUCUGCUAGAUGCGUUUCAAUGUCAUGAUUGGCAAGGGAAAUUGCAUUUCGUAAACUCAUUUGAAUUAGCCUGAAGCUGGAUUGGAGAUAUUAUUUCCUUGUAUGUGGAAAAUUCACUUUGGUAGCUUUCUCUACCAUGGCUGUAUGCCGUAAAGUUUCUUGGGGUUGUUACAAUCUUAUGCAGAGGACUAGAAAGCCAUUCAUCAGGACUGCGUGAUGGACUACCAUCGACUGGUGCAAUCUUGCAUUAGUCGUUGAAAUUUAAGCCUGAUCGUUCCAGCGUGGUGCUGAGCUUGAACAGGAUCUCAUGUUUUUCUUAACGGAAAACGUCCAAAAAUACCUCUGAACUAUUGAAAAAGGCUCAUAAAUACCCUCCUUCCACCUUUUGGUCUAAAAAUACCCUUAAGGUUUGUUUUUGGCUCAAAUAUACCCCUCAAACUAACAAAGUUAAAGUUAACUCUUUUAAAAAGCCAAAUGACAUUUUGUGAUUGGACACAUAUAUUAUUUAAUUUAAAAAUUAAAAAAUAUGAACAAAACUGAUUUUUUUUUUUGCAUUUUGUGAAUUAAUCAACGAAAUAUGUUUUU